rnacentral:rRNA from 1 species
AGAGUUUGAUCCUGGCUCAGGACGAACGCUGGCGGCGUGCUUAACACAUGCAAGUCGAGCGGAAAGGCCCUUCGGGGUACUCGAGCGGCGAACGGGUGAGUAACACGUGAGCAAUCUGCCCUUAGCUUCGGGAUAGCUCCGGGAAACCGGAAUUAAUACCGAAUACGACCACGGCCGACAUCAGCCGUGGUGGAAAGCUUUUACGGCUAGGGAUGAGCUCGCGGCCUAUCAGCUUGUUGGUGAGGUAACGGCCCACCAAGGCGACGACGGGUAGCCGGCCUGAGAGGGCGACCGGCCACACUGGGACUGAGACACGGCCCAGACUCCUACGGGAGGCAGCAGUGGGGAAUAUUGCGCAAUGGGCGAAAGCCUGACGCAGCGACGCCGCGUGCGGGAUGAAGGCCUUCGGGUUGUAAACCGCUUUCAGCAGGGACGAAGCGAAAGUGACGGUACCUGCAGAAGAAGCGCCGGCUAACUACGUGCCAGCAGCCGCGGUAACACGUAGGGCGCAAGCGUUGUCCGGAAUUAUUGGGCGUAAAGAGCUCGUAGGUGGUCCGCCGCGUCUGCUGUGAAAAUCCAGGGCUUAACCCUGGACUUGCAGUGGAUACGGGCGAACUAGAGGUAGGUAGGGGAGAAUGGAAUUCCCGGUGUAGCGGUGAAAUGCGCAGAUAUCGGGAGGAACACCGGUGGCGAAGGCGGUUCUCUGGGCCUUACCUGACACUGAGGAGCGAAAGCGUGGGGAGCGAACAGGAUUAGAUACCCCCGUAGUCC